GAAGGAUAGGAUUUUCGAUUUUCAUGUAAUCGCUCAGUUUAACACGAUUAACUACGUGGGGAGUUACUUUGUAACUGUUAUAGUUGCAAGAAGUUGUAACCGAUGAGAUUGGGACACAUGACUUUUUAGGAUUCAGGUAUCCGUUUAAACGAAAGUUCACAAACCGUGGAUCGUUGGAUCUUGCUUUUUUUAAUUGCUAAGAUUCAUUCGUCUGAGCGGCCAUUUUGGCUAUAAAUACGAGAUAUGGUCAAUGUCAAAUCUUCUCCUUGAUACGG
rnacentral:lncRNA from 1 species